CCUACGGGUGGCUGCAGUCGAGAAUCAUUCACAAUGGGGGAAACCCUGAUGGUGCGACGCCGCGUGGGGGAAUGAAGGUCUUCGGAUUGUAAACCCCUGUCAUGUGGGAGCAAAUUAAAAAGAUAGUACCACAAGAGGAAGAGACGGCUAACUCUGUGCCAGCAGCCGCGGGAAUACAGAGGUCUCAAGCGUUGUUCGGAAUCACUGGGCGGAAAGCGUGCGUAGGCUGUUUCGUAAGUCGUGAGUGAAAGGCGCGGGCUCAACCCGCGGACGGCACAUGAUACUGCGAGACUAGAGUAAUGGAGGGGGAACCGGAAUUCUCGGUGUAGCAGUGAAAUGCGUAGAUAUCGAGAGGAACACUCGUGGCGAAGGCGGGUUCCUGGACAUUAACUGACGCUGAGGCACGAAGGCCAGGGGAGCGAAAGGGAUUAGAUACCCCUGUAGUC
rnacentral:rRNA from 1 species